CCCGUAGGGGGUACCUGCGGAGGGAUCAUUACACAACAAAAAUAUGAGGGUGUGGUUUGCUGGCAACAGCGUCCGCCCCAAGUAUUUUUCACCCAUGUCUUUUGCGCACUUUUUGUUUCCUGGGCGAGUUCGCUCGCCACCAGGACCCAACCAUAAACCUUUUUUUAUGCAGUUGCAAUCAGCGUCAGUAUAAUAAUUCAAUUUAUUAAAACUUUCAACAACGGAUCUCUUGGUUCUGGCAUCGAUGAAGAACGCAGCGAAAUGCGAUACGUAGUGUGAAUUGCAGAAUUCAGUGAAUCAUCGAAUCUUUGAACGCACAUUGCGCCCUUUGGUAUUCCAAAGGGCAUGCCUGUUCGAGCGUCAUUUGUACCCUCAAGCUUUGCUUGGUGUUGGGCGUCUUUUUGUCUCUCCCCUUGUUGGGGGAGACUCGCCUUAAAACGAUUGGCAGCCGACCUACUGGUUUUCGGAGCGCAGCACAAAUUUGCGCCUUCCAAUCCACGGGGCGGCAUCCAGCAAGCCUUUGUUUUCUAUAACAAAUCCACAUUUUGACCUCGGAUCAGGUAGGGAUACCCGCUGAACUUAAGCAUAUCAAAAG
rnacentral:rRNA from 1 species